CCACAUCAGCCCAUGUUCUCUGUCCAUGUCUCUUGGAUGGAAAUGAUAAAGGAGGAGAUUGCACAGGAAAUCCAUGAUAAAUUUAGACAUUACCUGCUGUGUCCCCCUGAGAGUCACAUGCUGAAAUCCGAAUGUCCAAGAUGGUGGUGUUGGGAGGUGGGGCCUCUGGGAGGUGAGAGGUCACUGGGCUGGAGACUCAUGAAGGGGUUAGUGCCCUCAUAAAAGAGACCCUACAGCCCUCCUCCCUGCAAGAGUCUGUGACCUGGAAGGAGGCUCUCACUCAACCGAACUUCCGGCCUCUGGGUCUGUGAGAAAGGGACUUCUGUUGUCUAUCAGCUGCUCAGUCUGUGGCAUUUGUGAUAGCAUCCCGAGGGACUCAGACAGUAGCCCGACAAUCACAAGAGUUCACCCAGCCUUCCCAGGUACCCAGUAAGAGAGGUGUGCUGUGAGGACGUCACUUGAGAGAGGUGUUGAGUGCAGCUCAGAGAGGCUGAGUGUCUUGUCUAAGGGCAUACAGCGGGAAGCAGCAGAACCAGGCUCUCGUCCCUAGGAAGAGGCGCAUGGUCAGCAUAGUGGUCCCAGCAGACCCCAAGCUCCUCCCUCUAGCCCCAGAGAUGCAGGUGGACCAGCCAGGACCCCCAAACUGGCUGUUGUGCCCCCCAAGCAGGGCAGGGCUGGGCCCACAGCAAUCUUAGAUAGGAAUCCACCUGCUCACUCCUCUGGGAGUGAGGGACGGUGCAGGACACCCAUCCUGACUGGUCUGGGCUGCUCCUCAGUCUCCGGGCCUCACGGUUUAUCUCCAUGUAGCACAGAUCCUUUAAACACGUCAGCAUUGCUAUGAAAAUCAGGAUCAAUUCUGGCCAAGACCUGACUCACCCAUUGUCCCUGCUCAUUGUCCUUUUAGGAAAUUCUUCCCAAGGGGGCUCCUGUGGGUUUGGGCAGAGGGGCCUCAUGGUGACCCUCAUGCCAUGUGUCCGGUCACCCCUCACCUCCUGGGGAGGCACACUUUCCAGAAGUCAUCAGAACAAGCUGGUCUUUCCUGGAAGGAUCCGGGCUCUCCCAACACUUCCUGGAUUUGCAGGUUCCCGAAUUCACCAGUAUUCUUUCUCAACCUUUAUUUAUUUAUCUCACUUUAUUAUUUUUGGAUUAAUGUAAAUGAAGUCUGUGUUUGGCUUGCUAGAAUGGAUGAAAGGUUUGCUCAGGUCAGAAGCUUCAAAGUGGGUUUUGAUGGAAGAAAACUGAUAAAAAAAUCUCUGCAGUGUUUUUUAACCUUCACCCCGUGUUGGUAUGAGAUGAGGAGGAUGGGGAGGUGAUGAUGGGAAGAGACUUGCUCCCAUCUUCACCCACACGGUGGGGGGAGAGCACCCACGGGCACCUGUCUGGGGCGGGACGUCACUGGGCCCCCACCCCGCUGGCCGGAACCUAGCCGUGGGCUCACACCUGCACACUCUGCACCUUUAGUAAGAACAGGCUCCAGGGUGGUGGGUCUUUGGGAGGGACAAUCAUGCCUAGUUACAGUUAGUAUUAUCAGCUGAGAGGAGAAUGGAUAUUGGUGAGCACUAUUAAUAGCCACUUCUGCCUUCACACCUGCCCGUCAGGCUGGUUUUAAUCUGGAGACCGAGGUUCUAUCUGAGGCGCCCAGAGAAGUCAGCUCCUACCAGGGUCAGCCCUUCAGUGUUCUGCUAAGAUGUGUCUCCUCCUCCCAUCUCUCUGUGCUGUGGGUUGUACCCUCCUAUUGUCUUGGUUUGGAUCCGCAACCCCCUACCCCAGGCAGACCAGGGUCAAGGUUGGGUGCGAGGGGUCUGUUUGAGAGGCGACCUCAGGGGACAUCAGGAAAGGAGAGCGGGAAGAGAAAGGGCCAGUGCCCAGUGCCUUCUUGGCCCUGUGACCGUGGUGGGAGCUCGAGGGGACUGUGGAUCACCCCUUGGAGUUUCUCAGCUGCUCAGCCAGGGCGCCAGGACGUUGCCCACCUACUCUCCCUGGUUGAGAACUGCUCCCAAGGACAGUGGUUCCUGGCAGUUCUGGCCUGCCUGUCUGCGCUCAGGCCAUGCUUGUGCCCCCAGCAGAAAACGCUCCCGCGAGAGGCUGCAGGCGCCAGAGGAAGCCACGGCUGUGUCCAGGAUGAUGCCUGCCAAGGCCGGGCACCAGCAGCGAUGCUACAGCCGUGUCCUGAGCUGACGAACCCCCGGUCUCCACGGAGUCACUCCCCUCACCUCCCCACCAGCUGUGAGCUGCUGACGUGGCAGCUUCGUGGCUUGGACGACUCCACGGAAGCUCUGCUGCUGGGAGCCUGAGGAGCCACUUACAAUUUAGGGGUGACCUCUUUCCUAAGGUUCCCAGGCACUCCUGCGCCCAGCCCUGUCCUUCAGGAAGGCGGCUGUGUAUUAGUUCGCUAUCUGGGGGCUUGGACAGCCGCAAGGUUGUCUCCCGCAGUCAGGAGGCCCCACGUCUGAGACCAAGGUGCGAGUGGGGCUGCUGCACCUGGGCUGGGAGCAGGACCUGCUCGGGGUUCCCUGGCCACCCGGUGCUCCCUGUAGACAUGUCCCCACCAUCUCCGCCCAUGUGCCCUCUGUGCCCACAGCCCCCCCUUUUAUCAGUGGGAGGCCCACCCUCGCCAGUGUGACCUCAUCUUGACUAACACCAUAUUUCCAAAUAAGGGCACAUUCUGAGGUGCUGGGUUUUGGGACUCCCACAUGGGGAUUUGGGGAGGGCAUGGUUCAGCACGCAAAGGGUGGGAGAAGAUGGCAAAGGGGCUGCCACACGGCGUGUGAGAGGAUCUGAUGUAGAUCAGCGGAGCCCCCAGGCAGGUGGAGGUGUGUGCCGAGGUCACCCUCCGGGCAGGGCACAAGCGCUUCUUCUGAGACACUUGAGGGGCUGGGUGUGGGCGCCUUCUCUAUGCCACGGCGACGGCGGGGACAGCCAGGCCAGCCUCCACCACCCUGUCAUUUCUGAGAGUUCAACGGGUUAGGGGAAAAAUGACGUUUUCUCGCCAGCAUCCAAAGGUCAAUGGAAGGUCAUUGGUGGGAUCAGGAGGACACAAGUUGAUGUCAAACAGACCCAGAGAUUUCCACAAGUCCUGGAGAGAAAAGAGCCCGGAGCAAAGCUUAUCUGAAAACCCCUGGGAGCUGUGGAACGCUGCUCAAGCUGCAUAACCUCCCAUUUCCGGAGAGAAUGGCUCGUUUCAUUGGCCCCAGAGCAUGCUGGGUGAUCCUGAACCCUGAAGUCAGGGUGGGGAGUGAGGUCAAAAGGUCAUCUGGUUCACUCCCCUGCCUCUAGGCAGGAUUCUCCCAGCAAAGAGUCGUCGUGUGUGUUCUAGCAAGCAAGGCCGCAAGUGGGGGCUUGGGGAGGAAACAGGCCUGUGAGCACCUGUGAGCAAUGAUGACGUGGUAAUCCCCGCCAGCUGUCCAAGUCUGCGAGCCCCACCAGUGCCUUGAAGUUUGGAGAACUGCACUGGGACCUGUUGGGGGACAUUGGUGGGAAAGAGCGCAGUGUGUCCAGAGAUCAGCCACCACCUCUGGGGCAACAACCACAGAACAUCAAUGACAACAACAGAAGCGAAAAUGUCUUGAGCAGUUGCCAUUCGCAGGGUUAUGUGGAGUGGCUAAAUGCUUGCACGUCAUCUCUUGAAUCAUCAUAUAAGCCUCUAAGCCCACGGGGGGGUCCUGUUGUAAUUGUCCAAAAUGAGGCUCAGAGAUGGAAGGUGCCUGCCCAAGGUCCCCUAGUCUGUAAGAAGCACAGGUAGAGUUUGGCUCAGUUGGAGCGACUUCAGAGCCCAGGACUGAACAGCUGCUCCUCAUGUGAAUGUACCACGUGUGUCCUGUUCCACUGAGCAGGUGCGGGCAGCUGAGGGUGGCCCAGGUUAAUAAAUGGGGUGACUGGGGGGCCACCCACAGCCUUUAGAUCCCAAAUCCUCUAUGGCUCCCCUGGACACCCCCCUUCCCACCACGUGCAGUGCCUUCUUACAAAACCAGUUGCUCUUUUAUGACCCGUGGGGCAGGUGGAGAGGGAGUCACUC
ensembl:lncRNA